rnacentral:rRNA from 1 species
CCCUUCGAUAAUCUGGGCCGCACGCGCGCUACAAUGACGAAUUCAACGAGUUUAUUGCACUUUACACGCAACGUCCUUGGCCGAGAGGUCUGGGUAAUCUUUGAAAGUUCGUCGUGCUUGGGAUAGACUUUUGUAAUUUUCAGUCUUGAACGAGGAAUUCCUAGUAAGCGCGAGUCAUCAGCUCGCGUUGAUUACGUCCCUGCCCCUUGUACACACCGCCCGUCGCUUCUACCGAUUGGAUGAUGUGGUGAAAUCUCAGGACUUGGCGUGCGUUCGACGACUGCGUUCGCGCGGUCGUUGCACGACGAGGAAUUUGCUUAAACCUUAUCAUCUAGAGGAAGGAGAAGUCGUAACA